rnacentral:rRNA from 1 species
UACGUAGGUGGCAAGCGUUGUUCGGAAUUAUUGGGCGUAAAGGGCGCGUAGGCGGCAUGUUAAGUCGGCUGUGAAAGCCUGGGGCUCAACCCCAGAGGGUCGGCCGAUACUGGCAAGCUAGAGUACGGAAGAGGUAGCUGGAAUUCCCGGUGUAGCGGUGAAAUGCGUAGAUAUCAAGAGGAACACCUGCGGCGAAGGCGGGUUGCUGGGCCGACACUGACGCUGAAGUGCGAAAGCCAGGGGAGCGAACGGG